GAAUAUAAUAUGAACGAAUAUUACAAAUACAUCAUUUAAUAAAAUAAAUAAUUAAAAACUGAAAAUUCAUAUCCGCGCUGGCCCGCGGACCAGGGUCUAGUUAUACCAUUACGUCGCUUGUUUGACUUCCACCAGCCCAUUAGAGCAUGUUUAUCGGCGUAGGAGGGUUGUUUAGCUAAAUUAUACAAUUAAAAUAAAAGGAAAAUAGACAAUUAAGCAAAGGACGUCGUCUAAUUCGGAUCUCGAAGGCACGUUGCUUAGUGGGUACGUGGCACAAUCAGGUUGGCUGGAGGAGCAGUGUCGUUUUUCGUUUUUUUCCUUUUUCUUCUCUCGGUGGCGAAACAGCGGACACCUCGACGACUCCUCGACGCCAUGAAGCCGCUCUGCAUCUCGAGAUUGGAGACCAUGGUUGGUUGUUUCUCCCCUCUCCGAUGCUCCAAUCAUCAAUCCCCAACGUCUCAGCUCUCCUCCACCGCACAGUCCCUGAAUCAUCGGCGUCGUCAGCUCUCCUCCACCUCAGUUUCGGCAUCGUCAGUUCAUCUCCGUCGUGCUGCUCAUCGUUGGAAUCAAGUUCGCCGUCGCAUUCGAAAGACUCGUGAAACAUCAGUGGCUACUUUUGGCUAUUUUGCACAUCCAGUCCUCAUAGUUUGGUUCUUUUCUUUUUGACCCCAACUCAACUUUAAUAUUUAAAAAUUCACUAAGCACCCACUAAGGGAUUGCACCAAUAAACAUGCGAUGUUUAUUAAAGACUAACAUGAUCCAUGAGGAUUCUCUUUUGUGCUGAACACAUGAAUCUGUUCCUAUAUAAUAUACAUUAUGGUUUAUCCUGGUGGUUGAAUACAAAACUGAUAUGCGUACGUCAUGCCUUUUGCGCUAUCAAACAAUAAUAAUUAGAGUGAGAUAUAAGUCUUAACGUUGCUUUUAUAGUUCGACACUUCUACUAUUACUGUAUAAUAUAUAGCGAACCCACGUUCAAGCCAAACAAUGGGAUCCAUGACUAUAUAUCUUAUAGCUUUGCUGUUGUGAGCAUUGAGCAAGCACGACCUGAAUUCCAAACAGAAAACAAUAACUUAAAUGGGAACUGUAUCUACAGCAGGGUAAUACGACCAUUUGUAGGGACAUAAUUCUUCCUAAUAACAGAUUCCCUUCGCAACCUCACCACAACAGAUUUCCUUUCGCUCCCAUUUAUGAAAUAUUUUUUGACUGCUAAGACGAAAAACUAUAAUAAAUAAGAUAUCUAUCUAUAAUAAUAAAACAAAUUUGUCUCUCUCCUCGUGCGUCUACGUCACCAGGAAGAAGAGGGCGAAUUACGACACGUGGCAGCUCCAUAUAUUAACUUACGAAUUGUUUGUUUCUUUUGUUUCGUGGGCCUAUCGUGUUUCUGCUAUAUUGUUCAGGCCCAAUGUCUAUAGGGUUGCAGGUUGCAUCAUCUUAGUAAAUCGACAAACAAACUCUGCCGCCGCUUCCCUUCUCUUCAGGUAACCUCCGAAGACAACCAAGCCGGCACCGGCUUAGCUAUUAUAUAAUGAUGUUGUCCCAAUCCUUUGAUAAGCAGAAACCACAUCAGAUGACUGAGCAGGUGAGCAUCGAAACAAACUUUUUGUUAUUCUAUUAUUUGUUGUACACUUUGAGUCUGGUUUGCUGGUCUUGAUUUUAUGUUUGGAUUGGAUGUUAAUUACCCAUGUUUUGUUGUACCCUUUUUUGGAAAUGGAUUACACCAAAGAUGAUGGGGCUGGCCACAAAAACUUAUGUGUAUCAUUGGUCAAUUGAAGGUUUGUAUUUGUAUCUUUUACAUACUGUCAUCUUCUCAAUAUCAUGUAUAUGUAGUUUGUCAAUCUGUUUAACCAGGGGAUCUUGAAGAUCAUCAACCACCAUACCUUCGUCAAUUGGAGUUACAAUACAGAGACAGAUUCUAUUGAUUGCUUGAACUUCCUCCUUCUUCUUUAUUAAUUUCAAUUAGCUGAUGAGUUUUUAUUGUUUUGUUCCUUGUCAUAGAGUAGUUGUGGACAUGUGCGUUAGGAGGUGGUGACUGUGAGAGAUCGACUGGAGAAGAAAGAGCAAGAUCCAGGAUUUUCGAGUCUGAGUAAGAGGAGACGAGGCCAGAGAUUCACGCCAAAGAACAAGAUAGACAAACUACAAGGAAAUAAAGCUUCCCAAAUUCUUUUUAAGCUGUUCAUUGGUGCAUUUGAGUGAGAUCCUAAGACCCUUGGGAGCAAUGCAAAUGCAGAGUCAAAGUUUGGGUGACAAGUAUUGAACACACAUGAAUUAUCAAGAAGAGAAGUCAUAUAAUAAAUCAAAUUCCAUUUUUUCUGUUUUGUUUAAAAGUUUUUGAUUUUUUGUUAUAUAUUAGGCCGAGUAAAUUUAUGAAUAUCAUUGUAACUUCAGGUUGUAGGAAUAUAUUUAAUUUCCUU